GGGUUUCUAAUCUCAUAUUCUAGAAACAUUACUUUCAGUCACGUGUGUUUCAGUGUUUAUUUCACAGGUGGAACGAACAUCUAGAAAGGAAUCUUUAAAAGAAUAAUACAAUUUGCAAAGCAAACGAUUCUCGAACAAACAAGACAAGAUUUAGCGUGCU